rnacentral:rRNA from 1 species
UACGUAGGGGGCAAGCGUUGUCCGGAUUUAUUGGGCGUAAAGAGCGUGUAGGCGGCCAUUCAGGUCAGCUGUGAAAACUCGAGGCUCAACCUCGAGACGUCGGUUGAAACCGUUUGGCUAGAGUCCGGAAGAGGAGAGUGGAAUUCCCGGUGUAGCGGUGAAAUGCGCAGAUAUCGGGAAAAACACCCGUGGCGAAGGCGGCUCUCUGGGACGGUACUGACGCUGAGACGCGAAAGCGUGGGGAGCGAACAGG